rnacentral:lncRNA from 1 species
UUUUCUCUUUGAACGUUGAUUGUGCAGGGUGAACUGCACCGUGGCGGUGUGCCUUCUUCAGGCAUGGAUGAUGUGGAACUUUGUCAACUUUCACUUGCAAAUGAGGAGGGAGCGUUCGGAGGCCCAGCAGAGCUCAGGGGCCGGCUGCCAAGAAGAAGGCCGUCCCUCGCAAAGACCGCAAAGCCAAGAAAGAUGAAUCAGCCACCAAGCGAGCAGCGGACGAGGAUGUCAAUGAGCUGCCCGAGGUGGACCAGAACGCCAAAAAGGAUCUCCGUUCUCGCCAUCUCGCCAGUCCGAAGGCCAAGAGGAGUUAAUCUCUGCCUCCUAAAAUUUUUUUUCUCAAGUUACAUUUAUCUUUUACUCUUCCUUUUCACUCUGCCUUGUUUGCAAUGGACUGCCCCUUCGAUUGUAAAUUUUUACUUCGGUUGUUCAAGGCUUGAAAAUUUGUUUUUUCACUUUGCACUGCCUCUUUGAUUGGAAUUUUUGCUUUGGUUGUUCAAUGCUUCCAAGGCAGGAAAAUUGGUUCUUUCACUUGAUUAGAGUUCAAGAGCAAGGUUUUGCGAGUGAGCUGUACGAGUGUCUGAUCUCGAAACCCAUGUUUUGAAUGGAAAGGGCUUGGGCUUUCUUGGCUUGUAAAGUCCCCAUUAUGGCACAGGGAUGGAACUGUCAGUGUUCUGCUCCAACCUGUUUGCUAAAUUAGCAAUGCAAGCAGAAACUUCACCAAGGCUUACUAUAGAAGAUGUCCAGUGUUACAAGGUUGCAAAGUAAGUGAAGCCAGACGUAGUUGGUGGAGAUAAUGCCUGCGUAUCUGUUCUACACGACCAUGCAGUGCGGUGAACACUCUGGCAAGUUCAGAGCUUGGCUGUCCCAUAUUCUUGAUUUACUGACACUUCUUGUGUUUCAGUUCUAAAUAUUUUGUAAUUACACACUCGUCACAGUAAGAAAGUACCUUGAAUAUAGCUACGCUUUAAAUUUGGUGCAAAAAGUAUGGGCAAAAUUUUCUACAGCUUGCAGCCUAGCACAUUUAAUUAUUGGUCUGCAACUAUCAAUAGGUGAACAAAAAAAGACUAAGAAGAAGUGGUUGCACUAAAGUACCGUCUCGUUUGGCCUCCUGAACAGCUGAACUGAGAUACUUGGGGCGGCCCUAAAAAAUGGCAGCCAGGACACUUAGGCCUUCCACGGUGAUUUUGUAUGCUGCCUUCUCCUUUGUCAUUUUGUUGCUUUACCAACCUGUCAUGUGGUGGUGAGAAAGAGCACCCACACAUACCUCCAGCAUACAUGCCAUUCUACUAGCACCCAGUAGUUGCAUGAAGCUGCUAAGAGAUCAGGGUAGUUUCUGCAAUAGCUACAAAUCAAUGUUGGGUUCUUCCAGUCACCUUUUUCCAAUUUCAAGAGGACCACAUGCUGCUUUGACAGAAGUGUCUUGUUCACUGGUCAUUGUGCAAGAUAUGCUUGUAUCACCAACAGCACCACUAUGUCAAAAGAUACUGUGUAGUAUUCUUUUUUUAACUGUACUUUUUGUCUUUUUCCUUUCUCACUUUAUUUAAUUUUCUUCUUGUAAAACUAGGUUAUCUACUGUACAAUUGGUUUCUUGCGUACCAGGCAAUGUUAUGAGUGUGCACAUUCACGAUCAAUAAAAAGACAACGCAUUGAAUAUGCAGGCUUGCAUUGUGUAACGGAAUGAUAUGCUAAAUAGACUAAUGCCACAAAAUACGACUUUACUGUCAUGCAGAAGGAAAGUCUUUCACAGAUCUGAACCAUUGAACAGGUGGAGUGACAUCUUAAUGACCAGUAGCCUUAGCACACUGUUGUAACAUUUCUUCCGAUGUGCUAAAACAACAAUGGGACAAAGACGUGAUUUGGCUUAACUGGGUGUGCAGAUGGGAGAAAUACGUGAUUUGGCUUAACUUGGUGUGCACAAAUCUUAGCGGUAACGUAUGGAGUAGUUAUUUCAUGAAACACAUUGCAGGCCAAUAAUAGCUAUGCUUUAAAAUUGAGACUGAUUUCAUCAUUGGCUCUUAUGUAUCAAACACUGUGUGCUGUGCUAGCCAUUCAUCCUAUAGUCCUGUCUGCUUAGAGCACACACCACUUACGUGCUCCAGAGAGUGAGAAUCGCAAAGUCAUCUCUUCUUUGUAAUAAAAUGACUUUUCCAUACA